CCUACGGGGCGCAGCAGUGGGGAAUCUUGGACAAUGGGCGAAAGCCCGAUCCAGCAAUAUCGCGUGAGUGAAGAAGGGCAAUGCCGCUUGUAAAGCUCUUUCGUCGAGCGCGCGAUCAUGACAGGACUCAAGGAAGAAGCCCCGGCUAACUCCGCGCCAGCAGCCGCGGUAAGACGGGGGGGGCAACUGUUCUUCGGAAUGACUGGGCGUAAAGGGCGCGUAGGCGGUGAAUCGGGUUGAAAGUGAAAGUCGCCAAAAACUGGCGGAAGACUCUCGAAACCAAUUCACUUGAGUGAGACAGAGGAGAGUGGAAUUUCGUGUGUAGGGGUGAAAUCCGGAGAUCUACGAAGGAACGCCAAAAGCGAAGGCAGCUCUCUGGGUCCCUACCGACGCUGGAGUGCGAAAGCAUGGGGAGCGAAUGGGAUUAGAUACCCCCGUAGUC
rnacentral:rRNA from 1 species